UUCCGGCAUCAAUCCUAAACACAUAUGGUUCCCCAAAAGUUUUAAUUUCCCUCUUAUUCUCAUUUUCAGAAUUCGAAGUCAUCACCCACCCCAAUCGGUUCUUUCCCUCAACCUCUAUCAAUCGUCUUAUUCUUAUUCGAUCAAUUCCAAUCCCCCAUAUCUGAUACCCCAAGCAGAUGCUCGUCUCUACCCAUCGAUUUUUAUUUCUACCACUGUACUACUGAUAAGUCACGGUCCGGCGAACUACCACUGCACCACCAGAUGACCUAUCAUAACCGCUCGAUCGGAUCCUUGUUUCUUGACUCCUCGCUUCAGUUCUCACCUCAACCCUAAGCAGGUUGAGAGCACUUCCAACAGUGUAGCCAAGAGACAUUGAUGACACUCGAUCACAGUUCAACUGUUCAAGAGCUUAAAUCUCCUAAGAGACCACACGACAAGGGUACAAGUUCAGCUUUUUGGCUCAGCUCAGGGCACACAUAAUCCUUUUUGCACGCUUGCUGAUACGGAUGUCAAGGCUGAUGUAGCCAAAGCUCUUGUUGUUGUUGCUUAGUGUAGAAACGACGACCCAAACAAGGAAUUACUUAGCUUAACCAAAGUGUUUGAAUGUACAUGGAAAAGGAACGAAGGACGUUCAUAUCUUGAUACAUAUGACGAUACGGCAACGAAAAUUCCAUAAUAUUUGACUUCUCCAAAAACACUAGGCUACUCUUCCAGACUUUUUAAGGUGAAUCAAUGUAGAAAUUGAAGAUGAUCAUCAAAGGAAAAAAGCUGAGAUAGAAGCUAUGAAGAAAGAUUUUCACAGCCAACAAGCACAUUUGGAAUCUAGGAUACAAAGUAUUUUGAAAAAGCUAC
rnacentral:lncRNA from 1 species